GCCCGGUUGGUGUAGUGGUAGCACGCUCAAUGAGGGUCCGGGGAUGAAUGACAGCUUGCUGCUAUUCAAAGGAUGUUGACAAACUCACAUCUAAUACUGUAGAGGCCUUGGUUCAAUUCCAAGUCUGGGCA